rnacentral:rRNA from 1 species
CCUACGGGUGGCAGCAGUGAGGAAUAUUGGUCAAUGGGCGCAAGCCUGAACCAGCCAAGUUGCGUGAGGGAAGACGGCCCUACGGGUUGUAAACCUCUUUUGCCGGACUGAGAGUACCUGAACGAAAAGCAUCGGCUAACUCCUUGCCACCAGACGCGGUAAUACGGAGGAUGCGAGCGUUAUCCGGAUUUAUUGGGUUUAAGGGGUGCGUAGGCGGAAUGCUAAGUCAGCGGUAAAAUUGCGGGGCUCAACCUCGCUCCGCCGUUGAAACUGGCGUUCUUGAGUGGGCGAGAAGUAUGCGGAAUGCGUGGUGUAGCAGUGAAAUGCAUAGAUAUCACGCAGAACUCCGAUGGCGAAGGCAGCAUACCGGCGCCCAACUGACGCUGAAGCACGAAAGCGUGGGUAUCGAACAGGAUUAGAUACCCUUGUAGUC